rnacentral:rRNA from 1 species
AGUGAACGCUGGCGGUAGGCCUAACACAUGCAAGUCGAACGGCAGCACAGUAGAUGUUGCUCUUACGGGUGGCGGGUGGCGGUCGGGUGAGGAAUACAUCGGAAUCUACUUUUUCUGGGGGGAUAACGUAGGGAAACUUAAGCUAAUACCGGAUACGACCCUCGGGUGAAAGCAUGGGGUCUUCGGGCCUUGCGCGAUUGAAUGGUCCGAUGUCGGAUUAGCUAGUUGGCGGGGUAAAGGCCCACCAAGGCGACGGUCCGUAGCUGGUCUGAGAGGAUGAUCAGCCACACUGGAGCUGAGACACGGUCCAGACUCCUGCGGGAGGCAGCAGUGGGGAAUAUUGGACAAUGGGCGGAAGCCUGAUCCAGCGAUACCGCGUGCGUGAAGAAGGCCUCCGGGUUGUAAAGCCCUUUUGUUGGGAAAGAAAAGCGCCAGGUUAAUACCCCGAUGUUCUGACGGUACCCAAAGAAUAAGCACCGGCUAACUUCGUG